GUGCCUUUGUCAAUGUCAAAAACAAAUACACAAUAGCACACAACCAGAGUGCAGCUCCACACCCCAGAACAAAUCUCUGAGAUUUGUUCUGGGGUGUGGAGCUGCACUCUGGUUGUGUGCUAUUGUGUAUUUGUUUUUGACAUUGACAAAGGCAC